rnacentral:Y_RNA from 1 species
GGAUGGUUUGAGUGCAGUGGUGUUUAUAACUAAUUGAUCACAACUAGUUACAGAUUCCUUUAUUCCUUUCCCACUCCCACUGCUUCACUUGACUAGCCUUAA